GGCAGCUUGGCUGAGUGGUUAUAGCGACAGACUUGAAUUACUCAAUUCAGUUAUCUGUUGGGUUCGCCCGCACAGGUUCGAAUCCUGUAGCUGUCG